UUUUAAUUAAAAUAUUAAAAUUUUAAUUUUAAACUAAUUUUAAUAUUUUUAUUUAAUAUAUUUAAUUAUUAUAUUUAAAAAAAAAAUUAUUUAUUCAACUGCGCCUUCAUUACAAUGCCAAAUAGAUGAAUUCUUUAGUCUUUAGUGGCCUUACCUUAGGGAAAUGGAAAGAUCUUGCGUGUGGUUGGUUUGCACCUUUUAAGUUUUAUCCGAUGUAUAGCGUAAUAGGGUUACACGCUACGUCCAAUUCGCCUUUGGGUCCCAUUGACAUGUGUCGUG
rnacentral:misc_RNA from 1 species